rnacentral:rRNA from 1 species
UGCGUAGGCGGAAGAUUAAGUCAGUGGUGAAAUCCUGCAGCUCAACUGUAGAACUGUCAUUGAUACUGAUCUUCUUGAAUACAGUUGAGGUAGGCGGAAUAUGUAAUGUAGCGGUGAAAUGCUUAGAUAUUACAUAGAACACCGAUUGCGAAGGCAGCUUACUAACCUGUGAUUGACGCUGAGGUACGAAAGCGUGGGGAGCGAACAGGAUUAGAUACCCUGGUAGUCC